rnacentral:rRNA from 1 species
GUGCAGCAGGCGAGAAAACUUUACAAUGUGCGAAAGCACGAUAAGGGAACUCUGAGUGCCUCCUAAGGAGGCUGUUCAGGUGUCUAAAAAGCACCUGGAGUAAGGGCUGGGUAAGACCGGUGCCAGCCGCCGCGGUAACACCGGCAGCCCAGGUGGUAGCCACUUUUAUUGGGUCGUAAAGCGUCCGUAGCCGGUUGAGUAAGUUCCUUGGGAAAUUU